rnacentral:snoRNA from 1 species
UUACCUGAUGAACAAACAUAUUUCGCUGUGUUCUUUCCGAGACACCUCGCUGAAGAAAAACUUAUUUCACUUUGGAGAACUGACCC